rnacentral:lncRNA from 1 species
CCUCUCCUCCAGCAUGGCUGAUUCUGGUUGCUAAGACUCUAUCAUCCAGGGCAGAGAUGAAGCUUCACUCUUGCCAGAGGGACUAUUGGCUCUGAAAGACCUCUAGUACAGGGGAAAAAUAGAUGACUAACACCUUCACCAUGAGGAAAGAGUGGGUGGUGUGUCUACCCUUUGUCUAAACUAUGCAUUUUGUCCAGGGUCAGGAAAAGGUUAAGUCUUAGGAUUAAAUACAGGAUAUUUUUUUUCUUGCUGAGAACAGUGAGAGAAGACCGGGAUAGGGAUGGGGCAGAACUAGUGUUUUUGUUUUCACAUUCAGUUCUCCUGAAGCGGUGUUUGGCUGAAAUGGAACAACUUCUCAAAGAAACAGGGUUAGAUUAAAAGCAGCCUGUUCCUCUGCCAAA